UCUCCCUCUUUCUCUGCUCCUCUCCCGCUCAUGCAUGCUCUCUCUCUCAAAAUAAAUAAAUAAACAUUAAAAAAGAUAAGUUUCUCUCAAAUGUCCACAAAUAGUGCUUUUGUUGCUUCUUACAUUCCUGUUUAAUUUUGUUUCACAAAUUAGAGACAGUAUUCAUACUACAGAGGAUUGGAAAUACAACCUCAAUUAAAUUUUAUUUCAAAAUUUAAUUUUUAUUUCAUAUUAAAGAGUUUUCUUAUGACAUAGUAUCUCAAGUCAUUUAAUAUUUAAAAGUAAAAAUACAUUCCUUAAUUAAUAAGCAAGCUGCAACACUUUCAACACAAAGGAAGGCACAUGGGGUGCCAGUGACACUGUGGUGUUCAAUUUGUAAAAGUGCAUCAACCUGUAACAUAUGCUUUUACAGGGACUGUAUAUAUAUUAGACAUAGAUACUAUAUACUAUAUAAGAUGGUUCAAUAAAAGGUUUUUUAAAAACUUGAUGUGUUUAUAAACAAAUCCCUUGUGUGGGUGUUUUGAGUUUUGAAGAGGAUAUUGUUGCUAUUGUUCUAUUUUGGUUUUUAUUUAUUUUUUUUUUUAAGGAUUUUAUUUUUACGUAAUCUUAUGCCCAACGUGGGGCUCAAACUCACACCCCCAAGAUCAAGAUUCGCACAUUCCACCAACUGAGCCAGCCAGGCACCCCUUGUUUUGUUUUUUUAGAUACGUUUAUUUUCUGAUUCUAAAUUUCUCUCUUCAGAUAUAAAGAAAACUUAUCUGGCUCCAUGGUUUUACUCAGCAAAUCAUCUCCAGAAAUGACAUACAGCAGUUCUGACACACUUCAUGGGUUACACAAUAAACCAUAACCGUGUUUUGGACCCUCUAGAUGGGCGUGUCCAAUAGAACGCUCUGCAAUGGUAGAAAUGGUCUAUUAUCUUCACUGUCCAGUACAAAAGCCACUAGCCAUAUGUAGCUACUGAACACUUAACAUUUAGAUAUGUAACUAAAAUACUCAAUUUUUAUAUUUAAAUUAAUUUAACCACAAGUGUCUACUAGCUAUUUUACUGGACAGUGCAGUUCUAGGUAACACCUAGCAUAUUCUGCUUUGCAGACAACAAGCUAUGCUUCAUUUUUGUUACUCAUAGAACAUUCUGAGGUACCUGACUCACAGUGACUACUACAGUCACAAGAAGCAAGGAUCUCUGGAUAUUUCUUCCCCACGUCUGAACACCAUCCUUCUGUUUUAUUAGUAUCAAAAGACUACAUUUAAUAAGUCUAUAAAUUUAAGACUAAAAUAAUUAAAACAAUCUAGAGAAACCACCAAAAUACUCCACUAAUUAUAGGCAAACAGGCUGCUGUAUGUACACAGAAAAUAGGAGACCUCUUUCACAUGGGGAAUUGAUACUUCAGGCCUGAAUAUGUUAAGUAAGGCUGUAAAUUACGAAGUCUAAGACUUUUCAGCAGUAAAACCAUGAGAUCAUGACCUGAGUCGAAGUCGGAUGCUCAAGCUACUGAGCCACCUAGGCGCCGCCCCGCAUUCUAAGAUUUUUAAUAUCUUAACAUGAAGACACUAAUUACUACUUUGUAUUUUGAAUUUUAAGUUCUGAUAGAAAUUUUAUCACCAUAGCAUAAGCCAGGAUUUUGAUCCUUUAACCCAAAUAUAAUUCAUGAGAAAUAAAAAUGUGAUUGGCAGAUCGCCUAGUAUUACCUCAGACAGCUAAAAACCUAAUUCAGAUAUUUUUCAAAAUAGAUUUUGGGAGAGGUUUAUGAUGAUCAGCCAUCCUAUAAUUCUACAUUUUUUCCAUCAAUAACUUAACUAUCUCAACACCAAAUGUCACCCAUAUAUGUUGCAAUACUACCUCAAAGUACAGGAGGGGUAAUCCUUAAUUUACCCUCUGGCUGAAAAAAGGUUAAACAUUAUUUCUUUUUUUUUUUUCCCCUUUUCUGUUUUUUUUUUUUUUUUAACUCCAGUAUAAAUAACAUACAAGUUAAACAUUUCUGAAGGAAGUUAGGAGAGUUUUCAACAUCAUUCUUUAAAAAAAGAAAAAAAAAAAACCUUUCACUCAAAUAGUCAUGUUUAGAGAGAAUGCGGAAAGUGUUACACUGUAAACUAAUAAGAAAAAUAAAAAGAAAAUAAUGCCAUCACCCAAAAAGACAACCACUGAUAAAUCAAUACACACACAAAAAUAUAUUUAUUUUUCAAGACGUAGGAUACCAUUUUGGGAUACCAUUUUGGUGGCUCAGUCAGUUAUGCAUCUGAUUCUUGAUUUCGGCUAAGGUCAUUGUCCCAGGGUCAUGGGAUUGAGCCCGUGUUGGGCUCCGUGUUGAGUAUGGAGCCUGCUUAAGAUUUUCAAUCUCUCUCUCUUGUUCUCGCUCCCUCUGCCCCCACCUCCCACUGCCCAUCUCCCCCACACUCUCUCUCACUCCCUCCAAAAUAAAAUUUAAAAAUUUUUAAAAAAGACCUAGGAUACCAUUUGUAAUUUACUUUUAUCAUUCAAUAUGAUCAUUUACCUAUGUCACUAAAUAUCAUUAAAAAUGAACAAUAACAGGGGCUCCUUGGUGGCUCAGUAGGUUAAGCAACUGACUUGAUUUUGGCUCAAGUCAUGAUCCCAGGGUUGUAGGAUCGAGCCCCACAUUGGGCUCCAUGCUGAGCGUGGAGCCUGAUUCUCUCUCUCUCUCCCUCUGCCCCUCUCUCCUGUUCACACUGUCUAAAAAUAAAACAAAAACAAAAGAAUGAAUAAUAAAAGAUACCUGCCUCAUAUUGACUACCUACUGUAUGCCAAGCACUAGACUUAGCAUUUGCCAUUAGUUCUUUCAUUCUCAUAAGAAUGCCUGUGAGUUUCUGUGCUCACUAUACUGAUGAACAAAGUGAAUACAAGUAUCUAAUGAUGUUUAGAGUCACAGGGCAAAUAAUCAGAAUAUACUUUUUUUUAAUUUACAAACUCAAAUUUAUAGAAGUCUUUUCAGGCAGAACCUACUGAUGUAGGAACCCUCUCCUCAAAUCAACAAGUACAUGUCUAUGAAAAAAAAGAAAGACUUUGGAGGUCCAAUAACUAAAUUAAAAUAAAGCAAACAGAUUUAAGGUGAAGCUGAAAAUCUUGAUUUUGAUGCAACAAGAAAGGAGAGUCUUAUGUUUGACUACUUUACUGGAACACAGAAGGUAAUUCAAACGACUGCAGCAGCACCAGAAGCUUUCAGAGAAAAGGUUCACGAAAUCCCCUUCAUAAUUAUAGGGUUGGCGCUUUCUCAUCUGUGACCACCUUUCUGAAUGUCCUGGUAUAUCCUUCCUUUGUACUUUCCUAAGAGAGGAAGAAAUCUCUCCGUGAAUGGAACAAUACCCUCGAUGCCAUGUGUCGUAAGGUUAUCUCUGCCUGUUGCCUGGUUUAAAGGCCACUGAGAAUGAUGCACGCCUGUUGGUGGGGUAGGAACACGGUCCUCCGAUCUGGCCAUAUUAUGCGGAAGCAAAUUAUAGGUAACCCUUAAUCUCCGUUCUGUGCCCCUCCCCUUGGCCUUUCACAAACAAGCACAUUCAUGUGCAGACAUGCAUAGGAGGAGGAACUUUUCUUCCCCCAAGACUAGGGGGGAAGAGCUCACUAGGAUACCCAAAGAAAGAGUCCUAAAGAGUAAUUAUUAGAAGUAAAAUUCAUUCUACAGUGGUCCUUUCUUAGAUCUCAUUCACGUAUACUAACUUAUUCAAGUAAAAAAAAUACCUUUGUUUCAAGGUCACUUCACCGCCAGAGCAAAGUCAUGGUCUGUAACAAAGCUGCAGAAUUUAUGAUCACAGUGGCUCCGGGUUAUCCCAUUUCACUAUCACCAGAUUCCUGUGUGAAAAGUACCACCAGUGCACCACCUUGACGAGCAAACAGAGGUAAUUUUAAAACAGUAAGUUGAUAUUACUUGUUACUAAUGACCUUUAUUCAAGAAUUGGCCAGGUCACUCCUUUUCUGAGCUCAUUAGAACUUUAAAAUCUGCAAGUAAUUGGACAGCAUCCUAGUGGCUCACCAGAAGCACUGAAACAGAGACAAAGAAUGGCUUCUCAUCUUCCCUAAAUUAACAAUAUUGACAUCUUAGGGUCUAGUAACUUCACAUUCAUAUAGAAAAUACACUCCCCUAAAGCCUUCUUGUCUGAAAAAGCGAACAAAGAAGAUAGCCAGCAGAAUGACAUUCAAAACAUUUAAUUGUUAUGUAAAAAUAAUAAUAUUGUCAUUGAUGAAAUAAUACUUAACAUUCAGUGGCCGUUUACUUUUGCAAGGUACCACCUCAGCAUGUUGCACACAUUAACUCAUUUAGUGUCCACAACAAUUGCCUACGCUACAUUUUACUGUCAACCCCUUUUUGCAGAUGAGCAAAUCAAGGCAUACUUGGCCAAUAAGUUACACAGCUAAUGAAAGUCACAGCCAGGAUCUGAACCCAGAGAGCCUGUCUAGGGCUCACAGUCUUCUGCCAAAAUGCCCAUGCUAUCAUGCCACCUAGACUCCAAAGGCUUCCUUUGUAUUUUCCAUUUAAUGAGUUAAAGCUAAGUUUCCAAGCCACUCUCACUUAUCUUCAAUCUAUGAAAUAGAAUUUGAGAACUCAUGGAACGGUUGUGAGAAUUCCAUGAGUUAGCACACACAAAGCACUUAUUACGGCACAUAAUGAACAUACUAUAAACACUGACUAAUACUAUUACUAGUCUCUUUUUUUCACGACUUUCUCUCGGAUGUCUUUGAUGUUUGCAUAUCCAUUCAUUCAGUCAACAGGCAUAUAAUUCCUCCCAUGUGACAGUCUCUACGGGAAGCACUGAAGAACCACAGAUAAUACAUGCUUUCAGAGUUCUCACAGCUUGGCUGAGGAAUCCAGUUCACACACCCCCACGUACUGUGUCAUGUGACAAGUGCUAUCAUAUAGGAGUGCUAUGAGAGCACAGGGGUGCUGCUGAGUCAUAUCGUGACAUACCUUUUCAUCAGGCAAAGAAGGGGUGAUGUAAUAAUCCAUUAGAACUAGAGCACAGGGGACAAAAGAAAUGGACCCGUAAGGGAAAUUUUCCAUUAAAAGACUAUUAAAAAGGUUUGGUGAGAAGAGGUAAAAUAAGUAAAAGUC